AGGGAAUCUUCCGCAAUGGACGAAAGUCUGACGGAGCAACGCCGCGUGAGUGAUGAAGGUUUUCGGAUCGUAAAGCUCUGUUGCCAGGGAAGAACGUCCGUUAGAGUAACUGCUAACGGAGUGACGGUACCUGAGAAGAAAGCCCCGGCUAACUACGUGCCAGCAGCCGCGGUAAUACGUAGGGGGCAAGCGUUGUCCGGAAUUAUUGGGCGUAAAGCGCGCGCAGGCGGCUGUUUAAGUCUGGUGUAUAAGCCUGGGGCUCAACGCCGGGUCGCACUGGAAACUGGACGGCUUGAGUGCAGAAGAGGAGAGUGGAAUUCCACGUGUAGCGGUGAAAUGCGUAGAGAUGUGGAGGAACACCAGUGGCGAAGGCGACUCUCUGGGCUGUAACUGACGCUGAGGCGCGAAAGCGUGGGAGCAAAC
rnacentral:rRNA from 1 species